rnacentral:ribozyme from 1 species
CACAAAGAAGGACAGACAGGCUUACACGCAAACGCACACACAUACACACACAGACACGGACAAAGACACAGACACGGACACUACUUCGAUUUCCAGUAGGCAUUCCAUCCAUCUUUUUUCUUUUUCUUUUUCUUUUUCUUUUCCCCACUGC